CCUACGGGGGACAGCAGUGAGGAAUAUUGGUCAAUGGGCGCUAGUCUGAACCAGCCAAGUAGCGUGAAGGAUGAAUGCCCUAUGGGUUGUAAACUUCUUUUAUUUGGGAAUAAAGUGCAGUAUGUAUACUGCUUUGCAUGUACCUUAUGAAUAAGGAUCGGCUAACUCCGUGCCAGCAGCCGCGGUAAUACGGAGGAUCCGAGCGUUUUCCGGAUUUAUGGGGUUUAAGGGGAGGGUAGGCGGGUUGUUAAGUCAGUUGUGAAAGUUUGCGGCUCAACCGUGAUAUUGCAGUUGAAACUGGUAUCCUUGAGUACAGGAGAGGUAGGCGGAAUUCGUGGUGUAGCGGUGAAAUGCUUAGAUAUCACGAAGAACUCCGAUUGCGAAGGCAGCCUGCUGGACUGUAACUGACGCUGAUGCUCGAAAGUGUGGGGAGCAAACAGGAUUAGAUACCCUAGUAGUC
rnacentral:rRNA from 1 species